UAUGGUUUCACUGUCUCAAUGAUCUUAUUGGCUUUAGCAAUCUUCUUUUUCGACUGGUUCUUCCGGUCGGAACUAUUCCCUUAGAAACAAACAUAAAAAGAAGGCAUUUUUGCCAGGAUAUAUAUAAAUAUAUGUUGCAUAUAUAUUAUGAGUUAAUUUAGGGUACAAGCUAGUAAUUGUUGGGAGAUAUUCCCUUAGAUUUGUGAAAGUUUCUUCAUCUACACGCAAAAUUGGCACUUCCCUUUUAUGCUUCUUUAGUAUUUUUUGAGCAAGAAAAAUAAAGAUUUGGAUGAAUUAUAAGUAAUAGAAAGAGAUGCACUUGUUUGCACCAUGAACCACUCUCUUUGCCUUUGCUAGUUGGAUACACUCUCUGGAGGAAUCCCAGAUUUCCAUCCCCUCACAAAUAUGUAAAUAAAAAAAGUUUAAAAAAAAAGUACUAAAAUUUAUUUCUAGGUUUGGUGAAGAAAAUAAAAACACAAGUAACAUUUGCCACAUUGGUUAGAGGUAUUCUUCUUGGGUGAAGUUUCUUGUGGAUGUUUGACACGUGUGUCUGCAUGGGUUUUUGUUGAAAAUCCAACCGUUCAUUUCCAAGAAAUGCCUGAAAAUUUUGUUUCUAUCUGUCAGAUGACCAUCUCUCUCUCUUCCAAGUCUUGGGUUGCUCACUGAUUUUGAAUUUUCAUAUUUCAGAUUUUGUAAAUUUUGAAAAUAAUGAUAAUAGUUUUUGCUACUAGUUGGCUUUGUUCUGUAUCACACUUCACAUUUCAGUCAACAAUGUGCUGUUCACCUUUUUAUGGGGCAGCAGAGCUAGCUAGCUCAGCUAUAUCUUUUCUGGUGUAAGAUUUCUGGGUUUAAGAUUGCUGCCAGUCCAAUAGGGUCUGUGAAAACACAAUGGAAAAGGACUACCAUUAUUAAUAAAUAUUACAGAAAAGAACCAAUUCCAAUGUUUAAGUAGGGCCCUUGUGAGGUAGAAGUAGGUUUUGACUGGUCUAGUCUCAAUCUUAGUGAGGUGGACAUCUGAUAAUGAUGCCUCAGCUUCAAGUCUUCUUCAUGUUCAGGUCUGAACUCUGAAGCAGUUCAUCAGAAACCUCAUAAUUCAAUAUCAUUCAUUUCAUUUUUGAUUUUGGGUUUGUUUUUGAAUUCUCAUUUGAAAAUUAUAUAGUUAACUUUUGAGUCAUUUUGAUUCCCAUUUUGAUUCCUAAAGAGUGUAAUUGGUUUGUGUCUUUACAAGCAUGGUCUGCUGGCCACCAAAGCAAAUGGUCCUCUUCUGCACCACUUUGAGCACUUUUACCCUUUAUGGUUUUGACCUCUAUGCUCAUUUUAUUUGCUGUGUCCAGGGUCGUGUGAAAAUGUAAAAUUGUAAAUAAGGUGUAUGUGUUGGAAUUUAAGAGUGACAAAUAACCACAUGUAAUGCAAAUUUGCAGCACGGCCGGAGGCACAAGUACUACACCAAACACAACUCCGACCACAACUACAACCAUUCCAAGUCCACCAACGACGACAACGACGAAUCCGACCUUUGGCAAUGGCGUGGUGGGUGGACUCACUCCAGUAACAACUCCGGCUGUCCCCGAUGAUUCAAAAGCAGCAUCCCUUCAAUUCAUGCUUCCAACAUUGAUUUCUGUCUCCUUUAUUUUUUACAUGUUCUUUUAGUUACCUUGACUAAAACCCAUCUAGGAUUGGUUAGUUUUAAAUUUUUACUAAUCAGAGGAAGAACAGCAUUGGAGGCAUUAUGGAAGAAGAGGUUACACAUUUUUGUUAGAGGUUGGAAUCUUCUUUGUACAACUCCAUCUAGCUCAUUAAGCUAAGCCUCAUGGUAAUGAUCUGAACCUGCUAGGCCUCGAUCUCAAAAUCAAAUCAAUUCAAUAGUUCAAUUGUGAACCUUGCAGGUCCCAAAUUCAAUCGUAUUACUGUUAUGUUUAAGACAUUGACUUGCAUAAUGGAAAGAAAUACUACAAUGGACAUUAACAAUGUUUCUUUUUGUUAUAUACUAUAAGUACCAUUUCACCCUAUUUGAUAUCCUAAUUUGACCUAAAUAGAUGGAUUACGGGUUAACAUAUUUAAGUUUUGCUCCCGGUCGGCCAUGUGCUACGUUAAUUUUGUACAGACUAAGCCCUAAGACCAUCUCUCAUCAUAGGUUAAAAAGCCAAAUUUAGCCUAUAGUUACUCCCACCAUAAGCCAAAUUACAAUUUUCAAGACAAAAAAUUUAGCUUGAGCUAUUUUGUAAGCCAAAUUUGGCUUAUGGAGUUGGUAGGCUAAAACUAACUAUUAUUUUAUUUAAUUUUAAAUAUUGUUCUUCUAAUUUACACUAGCAUCUAAAUUAAAAAUUUGUUACUAACAAAAUUUUAUACUAUCGCGACAUUCUCGACAAGAUCUUUCAUAUGAGCCUCAUAUCGAAUAUAUUUAUAUAAUUUUUUUUUUCAUGGUUAAUUAUUGAAUUAAACAAAUAUAUACCAAAAGAAAAAAAAAUGGCUUUACCUUAGGAUUUGGCUUAUGGUGGGAGUGCUUCGUAAGCCAAAAUACUCUUAAUUUGGCCAAGGAUUUAGCUUAUGGUGGGAGAAUUUGAUAAGCUAAAAAAAAAUUCUAUAGAAUAUUCUUGUUUUGUAAGUUAAAUUUAGCUUGAAAUUUGGCUUAUGGUGGGAGAUGUUCUAAACUCUAAACAGAUCACACCUCUUUUAUAUCGUGAUAGCAUCAAUGGCUGUUGAAUGAAAUAUUCUGUUUUAACUUCCUCCAAUAUAUCAAAUUACAAAGUAAAAAUGAACAAGCUUAUAAAUCAUUCUACUGUCAAACUAGCUCUCUCCAUAAUUCCAAAUAUAUGAUGCUUAUCUUAUUAUUAUUUUUUUUUUUGAAAGUAUGAUGCUUAUCUUAUCAUCGAUGAAGAAAUAUAACUUCUUAUAUGAGAAGAAAUACGAGUCUUCAAGCUGUAUUCAUGUGUCAUUCAAAUUGCUAGCACUGUUUGUCAGGCAUAAUAAAUUUUCUUUAGAAUGCUAAAUUUGUGAAUCACUAAUCACUACUAGAUUGUGAUCCAGCUUUCGCUAAAUAUCUGGAGUCUUGUAUGAGAACGGAAACAGUGAAACGCCAACCCCUGAAGUAAACCAUAUGUACAAAGUUAUACUGAGGCUUAAAUAACAAUUUUAUAAGUGUUGAAACAGGACAAAUGAGAUCAAAUUAUAACUUGGAUAUCAAGAAAUUCAAGAUUAUACAGCUCAGAACUAGAGAUGCGAACUGAAACAAUGUACAAUAUUAGAAAUCUGUAAUCAGUAUUAUUCAUAUAGCAAUGUUCUUCGUUUCUUGCUCUUCAUUGUUUAUGUACCAUUGGCCUUAACUAGACAUAUAUUAGGCUGCCUUACUAUGUGAACUUGAACUCCAGCAUGAUUGUAAAAGUCCUGAUUCCGGUGCCAUGUCCAUAAAGCAUGAGUGUCAUUAGCCACCCAUAAAUACUGCUUAGCUUACUACCUUUGUGAACAUGUUGCAUGGUUAUUUGUACAUACAAAUGCAGAACUAGUUUCCAGCAUCCUGCAAUGUAGUUUUUCACUCAAAGCAGUACCGAUAACGACCUUAGCCGUAUACGUGAUCACAUUACUAUGAUUUACAACUUGAAAUCUUACUUUUCAGUUUUCACCAUUCAAACUGCACUAGUGGUUCUUACCAUCCCAAAUGCAGUAGUAAACGAAAAACUUUUGCUGAUCACUCAAAUUGUCAAACAUACAACUUGGUACUUGCUUCAAAUCCAGAAUCAAAUUCAAGUGUUUCUGCAACAGAUAGAAAAACCAUCAGCAAAUGCUAACAAAAUUGCAAUGGUGUACCUGUUCUUUUGACCCUCAUUUUAUCCUAAAAAAUUUCCUUCUCAAAGAUUUUGUGUUUAGGCGAGGACAUUGGUUUGAGAUAUAGACGGUUGAUAAAAUAUAGUAAUAUCAAGAAUAAUUUGUCAAUACAAACAACAGAACUUGGUGUGCUUUUCCAAAGCUUAUGACAGAUUGGAAUGGGUCAAUCAAAUCAUGCAGUAACCUACUCUAUCUUGCUGAAUGGACGACAACCAACAAAUAUCAUCAACCCUACUAGAGGUAUUAGACAAGGUGAUCCACUCUCCCCCUACCUCUUUAUACUAUGUGCCGAAGGCCUCUCUUCACUUAUAUCUCAAGCAAUUGAAAAUGGUAUAGUGCAAGGUUUGAAAAUGAGUCCAACUGCACCAGUGCUACACCACUUGUUCUUCGCAGAUGACAGCUUUAUCUUUGGUUUUGCUUCUGAAAUUGAAUGUCACAACUUUAGACACAUGUUGAAUGUUUAUGAAGCUUCAUCUGGUCAGAAAAUAAACGAGCAGAAGAGUAGUGUGGUUUUCAGCUCUAAUGCGAAACCUCAACAACAAGCUAUGCUUGCAGAUGUACUUCAGGUCACCAAAGUAAAUGAGCAUGACAGAUAUUUGGGGUUGCCUCUAAAGGUUGGUCGAUCUAACACAGCCAUAUUUGCUUACAUAAAAGGAAAAAUUACAAACAAGCUCUCUGGAUGGAAAUCAAAGCCCCUUUCAAGUUCAGGCAAAGAAACUCUCAUCAAGGCAGUUGCUCAGACAAUGCCCUUAUAUGCUAUGCAUAAUGUAUUGCUACUUGUUUCCGAAAUCAGUGUGAUGGCAUACACCAAUUGUGUGCAGGCUUUUUUUUUGGGGUGAUGAUGAGAACAAGAAGAAGAUUCAUUGGAGGAGUUGGGAAAGCCUUUGUCUCACAAAAGAUGGGGGAGGCUUAGGUUUUAAAAAUCUAUAUGCUUAAAACUUAGCUAUGCUAGCUAAACAAGCUUGGAGAAUUGUGAAAAAUCCGGACUAUUUGGCAGCACAAGUUUUUAAAGCCAGGUACUAUCCCUACCGCUCAUUUUAUUUGCUGUGACCAGGGUUGUGUAAAAUUGUAAAUAAGGUGUAUGUGUUGGAAUUUAAGAGUGACAAAUAACCAUAUGUAAUGCAAAUUUGCAGCACGGCCGGAGGCACAAGUACUACACCAAACACAACUCCGACCACAACUACAACCAUUCCAAGUCCACCAACGACGACAACGACGAAUUCGACCUUUGGCAAUGGCGUGGUGGGUGGACUCACUCCCG
rnacentral:lncRNA from 1 species